rnacentral:rRNA from 1 species
UACGUAGGGUGCAGGCGUUAAUCGGAAUUACUGGGCGUAAAGCGUGCGCAGGCGGUCUUUUAAGUCAGAUGUGAAAUCCCCGGGCUUAACUUGGGAACUGCGUUUGAAACUGGAAGGCUAGAGUGUGGCAGAGGGGGGUGGAAUUCCACGUGUAGCAGUGAAAUGCGUAGAUAUGUGGAGGAACACCGAUGGCGAAGGCAAUCCCCUGGGCCUGCACUGACGCUCAUGCACGAAAGCGUGGGGAGCAAACAGG